AAUCCGUGAUGAGGACAAUCUCUCUGAUAUCCUUUGAACCUUUCCCAUGCAGCCUUGAAAGACUCUGUCAUAUUCUGAGAGAAUGUUUGGAUCUUAGCCCGUAGAUC
rfam:Arabis alpina cultivar Pajares scaff_53174_1_contig_0, whole genome shotgun sequence.